rnacentral:tRNA from 1 species
GCCUGGCUGGCUCUGUCGGUAGAGUGUGCAGCUCUUGAUCUCAGGGUUGUGGGUUCAAGCCCCAUGUUGGGUG